rnacentral:rRNA from 1 species
UAACGCGUGGGAACGUACCCUUUCACUACGGAAUAGUCCCGGGAAACUGGGUUUAAUACCGUAUACGCCCUUCGGGGGAAAGAAUUUCGGUGAGGGAUCGGCCCGCGUUAGAUUAGUUAGUUGGUGGGGUAAUGGCCUACCAAGACUACGAUCUAUAGCUGGUUUGAGAGGAUGAUCAGCAACACUGGGACUGAGACACGGCCCAGACUCCUACGGGAGGCAGCAGUGGGGAAUCUUAGACAAUGGGGGCAACCCUGAUCUAGCGAUGCCGCGUGAGUGAUGAAGGCCUUAGGGUCGUAAAGCUCUUUCGCCUGUGAUGAUAAUGACAGUAGCAGGUAAAGAAACCCCGGCUAACUCCGUGCCAGCAGCCGCGGUAAUACGGAGGGGGUUAGCGUUGUUCGGAAUUACUGGGCGUAAAGCGCACGUAGGCGGAUUAGUCAGUCAGAGGUGAAAUCCCAGGGCUCAACCCUGGAACUGCCUUUGAUACUGCUAGUCUUGAGUUCGAGAGAGGUAAGUGGAAUUC